rnacentral:lncRNA from 1 species
UGCUUCAGAAAACUCCAUUCAAUUGUAUCAUAUGCCUUCCUGAGAUCCACUUUUAGAACACAUCUAGGAGAAACCCCUUUCCUAGAGUAUCCUUUGAAUAUUUCAUGGCUGAGUAGAAUGUUAUCCAUGAUACUCCUUCCUUCAAUAAAUGCAGAUUGGGCAGGUCCAAUCAGGUCUCCAAUUACACCCUUCAUCCUUCUGGUAAUAACUUACUCCUUCCUUCAAUAAAUGCAGAUUGGGCAGGUCCAAUCAGGUCUCCAAUUACACCCUUCGUCCUUCUGGUAAUAACUUUGGAAAUGAUUUUG